GACGAACGCUGGCGGCGUGCUUCAUACAUGCAAGUCGAACGAGAAGCUGACUUCGGUCAGUGGAAAGUGGCGGACGGGUGAGUAAUAUGUAGGAAAUCUGCCUUUAGGAGGGGGACAACAGAGGGAAACUUCUGCUAAUACCCCAUAUGAGCGUAGCUGAAAUGCUAUUCUUGAAAACUCCGGUGCCUAAAGAUGAGCCUGCAUCUGAUUAGCUAGUUGGUAGUGUAAUGGACUACCAAGGCGACGAUCAGUAGCUGGUUUGAGAGGAUGAUCAGCCACAAUGGGACUGAGACACGGCCCAUACUCCUACGGGAGGCAGCAGUAGGGAAUUUUGCGCAAUGGGCGAAAGACUGACGCAGCAACGGCGCGUGAACGAUUAAGCCCUUCGGGGUGUAAAGUUCUGUCAGUGGGGACGAAACUUGACGGUACCCACAGAGGAAGCACCGGCUAACUCCGUG
rnacentral:rRNA from 1 species